UUACCUGGGGAAAGGAGCCUGGACCCUCCUGUUCCUGAGUGGUAAUCAGGGAUUUAAUCUAUGAGAUGGGAAGCCAGCUAGCAGGACUCUUGCUUUGAUGAGUGUCCCUGUUUCCUUUUUUUUUUCCUUUUCAUCAAAUAAAACCUGCCCUUCUCAUCCUUCAAAGUGUCUACAAGCCUAAUCUUUCAUGGUAGUGUGACAAGAAUCUCAUCUUUAGCUGAACUAAGGAGAAAGUCCUACAACAUUUUUUGGAGUCCAGACAUGGGGCUUGAGAGAAGGCUUCCCCAAAUCAAACUUCAGUUUCAAAAUUGUCUUUCCUGAUGCCUGGCUUUUUGGAUGGUUCGGAAAGCCCUUGGAACAUGCAGAAAAGAGGAGGACUCAAGUCCACAACUUCACCUUAAUAUUUGGCUUAUGAUAAGGAGUCCAUGCAACCACCCCCGACACAAGACACAUUUUUAUCCUAAACUCAAUUUCAAACUUCCAGUCAAAGCCCUAGGAAGAAAAACUGAAUUUAAGGGAUCCAGAGGAAGAUGAUAACAGAGGUUAAAAGGCAUGGCACAGUAACAGUCAAUGAAAAAUCAUAUAUUUAGUACCUUCCUCUCAUCAGGACCCACCCCAAAACUGAAUCUCAGAUAAAAUCAGCCAGCUAAUUAUCUUUAAGGUCCAUGGAAGACAAGAUGCUUUCACUAGAUGGAGUCUGUCUCCUCAUCUGUUUUUCCAGCACUGGAGAAUCAGGGAAGAAUAGUUGGUAUCAUUAUGGUUUUAUACUUUUUACAGACCUGCACUUUUAAAGCUUUUAUAUAACUGACCGUUUCUACUCAUUCAGAAGAGAUUAUUUGGUGGCUACAUGCACUG